GGGGCCGUAGGGUAGCAUGGUCCAUCCUCCCAGCCAUUGACGCUGGAGACCCGAGUUCAAAUCUCGGCGGCCCCA
rnacentral:tRNA from 5 species